rnacentral:rRNA from 1 species
AACACGUGAGUAACCUGCCCUUGACUCUGGGAUAAGCCUGGGAAACUGGGUCUAAUACCGGAUAUGACCGUCUGACGCAUGUCAGGUGGUGGAAAGCUUUUGUGGUUUUGGAUGGACUCGCGGCCUAUCAGCUUGUUGGUGGGGUAAUGGCCUACCAAGGCGACGACGGGUAGCCGGCCUGAGAGGGUGACCGGCCACACUGGGACUGAGACACGGCCCAGACUCCUACGGGAGGCAGCAGUGGGGAAUAUUGCACAAUGGGCGCAAGCCUGAUGCAGCGACGCCGCGUGAGGGAUGACGGCCUUCGGGUUGUAAACCUCUUUCAGUAGGGAAGAAGCGAAAGUGACGGUACCUGCAGAAGAAGCGCCGGCUAACUACGUGCCAGCAGCCGCGGUAAUACGUAGGGCGCAAGCGUUAUCCGGAAUUAUUGGGCGUAAAGAGCUCGUAGGCGGUUUGUCGCGUCUGCUGUGAAAGACCGGGGCUCAACUCCGGUUCUGCAGUGGGUACGGGCAGACUAGAGUGCAGUAGGGGAGACUGGAAUUCCUGGUGUAGCGGUGAAAUGCGCAGAUAUCAGGAGGAACACCGAUGGCGAAGGCAGGUCUCUGGGCUGUAACUGACGCUGAGGAGCGAAAGCAUGGGGAGCGAACAGGAUUAGAUACCCUGGUAGUCCAUGCCGUAAACGUUGGGCACUAGGUGUGGGGGACAUUCCACGUUUUCCGCGCCGUAGCUAACGCAUUAAGUGCCCCGCCUGGGGAGUACGGCCGCAAGGCUAAAACUCAAAGGAAUUGACGGGGGCCCGCACAAGCGGCGGAGCAUGCGGAUUAAUUCGAUGCAACGCGAAGAACCUUACCAAGGCUUGACAUGAACCGGUAAUACCUGGAAACAGGUGCCCCGCUUGCGGUCGGUUUACAGGUGGUGCAUGGUUGUCGUCAGCUCGUGUCGUGAGAUGUUGGGUUAAGUCCCGCAACGAGCGCAACCCUCGUUCUAUGUUGCCAGCGCGUUAUGGCGGGGACUCAUAGGAGACUGCCGGGGUCAACUCGGAGGAAGGUGGGGACGACGUCAAAUCAUCAUGCCCCUUAUGUCUUGGGCUUCACGCAUGCUACAAUGGCCGGUACAAAGGGUUGCGAUACUGUGAGGUGGAGCUAAUCCCAAAAAGCCGGUCUCAGUUCGGAUUGGGGUCUGCAACUCGACCCCAUGAAGUCGGAGUCGCUAGUAAUCGCAGAUCAGCAACGCUGCGGUGAAUACGUUCCCGGGCCUUGUACACACCGCCCG